rnacentral:tRNA from 5 species
UAGCUUAUAGUUUAAUGGUAAAACAAGAUACUCAUAAUGUCUUAAAUAAAGGUUCAAAUCCUUUUAAGCUUA